GGGAAGUCCUUUAGCAUUUGUCAUCUUAUACCAAUGACAGCAUGUCAGAAGCCUGGAUUUGGGAGCACAAGCUCCUACUCUUCUUUCAAAGCCUUGCAGAACUGUGGAGCUCUCUGGAGGCCUCUCCACAGAGUCCCAGGGAGUCAUUCCAAGCUAGUUAUUCCUACAGCAAGUGUUUCUUAAAAUGCUGUUCUCAUUCCUAUUCUUUAGAAUAAUCUGGGUGAUCUUGUUAAGCCUGCACUCCAUCACAGAUCUGCUAAGUCAGAGUCUUUGGACAUAUGGCCCUGGGGUAUUCCAUUUCUAACCCACUCCUUAGUUGAUUCUUACACACACUGACGUUUGAGAAUUACUGCUAUGGCCCUUUGUACCAUCAUUAGCUUAAAUCUUGAAGUUUCAUGUACAUGUCUUAUUAUUUCCAUUAGACUGAAUAUCUUGCAAACAGGAGCCAUAUAUGAAUAGCCAUAUUCUCCAAACUGGGUACAAUUCCUGGAACAUAGUAGAUUUUUGCUAAGAGUUCUCACAACUGUAAGAGUUCCCUAUAUAUGACCAUAUCCAGAUGAAUAUGUUGGUUGAACCCAAACAACAUAUUCUAUUUCUCUAUUGCCGUAUAACUACUUACCACAGAAACUGGCACAGUGUCACUUCCAAUUAAUUCCAUUGGUCAAACAGUCAUAGAGCAUGUCCAGAUUCAAGGCUUGGGGGACAAAGACCCCACCUCUCAUUGAAGGAACAUUGAAUUUUUGGCCAUCUUUAAUCUACCACACAGUCCCUGCCAAAGUCUAUUAAAAACAGACUGGGUAUAAUUCUUUAAUCUGACUUUAUGAGCAUUUCAAAGAGGCAAAUAAACCAAUCAUGUUUUGUGGCCUAGGAAAUAGAGUUCAGAAGACAUGAGACAAGGUAUUUAAAAAGAAAGAAAGAAAAAUCCAAAGAUAUUUCUAGUGCCUAUGGCCCUUUAUAGUUUAGUCCAAUUAAAUUGGUCACAGGCCUUUUGAACUACAUUUGAGUCCCAUUGUGGCCUCCAGUAGUUCCUUCCCCAGAAGGUAAAUGGACAUGUCAAUGGUGGUGAAUGAAAUAAUUGAUACCCUUUAUCAGUUUUAAGACAAGGUCAGAAAUUGGAGCUGCGAAAGUUUUAGAAAGUUCUAGGAAUAGGCCCAGGGUAUUUAGCCCAGGAAUCUUCUACUAUAGGAAUACUCUUAGUUUGCCUUCUUGGGGUUUGCAACUCUGGAUGUCUCUUAAUUGCAAAUUCUUUUCUCUCUCUCUCUCUCUCUCCCCCCCACCCUACACACCCCCUUCUCCCCUCCCUUUUUUUUUUUUUUUUUUUUCUAUUCUAUCCACAUGGCUAAAUAAGACACCUGGUCUUUCCCUCACCCAUCCAAUUCUAUGGCCGGACAAAGUACAUGGCCUAGAAAAUUGACAUGAAGUCAACCAAGAUGGUAAACUAUAAGGUAGUCAAAGUAAAGAACUUUAAUUGGUCAACACAGAAACUGAAAUAAGUAGUCCUUGUGAAGCUAGGUUAACAAAUGGCAAUUCAGCUAAAAGCUCUUUUGUUGAGCUUGAGAAUUCUUGACUAAGGGGUAGGAGUCAUAAAGUGCUUUAUGAGUCAUGAGAAGGUCAAAGAUCACCUUUCAACUUUUCAAACUAGCCCUGGCUACUUAUGGUAGCUUUUCUUUUUUCCCUCCACACACCCUCCCCCACCCACCAGUUUCAUCGUCUAUGUCCACUUCACAGUGUAUCUGUAAUGAAUUUGGAUCCAUUUCAAAGAAUACAUAGAAAAUCUUCAGCUCCCAAAGCAGGCUGCUCUGUAGGAGGGAAAGAGUAAGGAAAACACCCUAGGGCAGUUCUUUAUUUCCAAAAGAUUAAAAAUAAUUAAACAUUAAGAUAUUCAACAUGGAUUAUUGCAGACAGUGAUGAAUGGCUCUUCUCCCCGUAAUGAUGCCCUCCUCUAAGCUAAUCUUACCCAACCUCAUUUCAAAGAAAAUGUUGGUUAAUGCUUUAUUUGUUUCAUUCCAUGUACUCUUAAGUAAAUCAGGGUUAUAAUUGCCCUGAAUUCAUAACAACUAACUGCCUCCCUCUUUGCCUUCUUGGAAUAACUGAGUGUGAAAGAAAGAAGAUAUUUUCAGAGGCAUUAGUACUUAUCUGAGAAUUAUCUAUCUACCCAAGUCAGUAAAGCAAAGGCCAGCCACUAUGCCACUGUUGGAAGCCAGAGGUCAAAGCAUGAGUAUCUCCCAGGCAGUGUGUCUAGCACUGUCUCCACCACAAAAUAGGUACUCAAGAAAUAUUGGCUGCCUGUAGAAGCAAUUUGUUUCCUCUUUCAAAGUGGGAAAGUGAAUCCUGUUCAUAGGGACAAAAACUAAGAUAAAGCAGAGGCAAUAUUUUUGCUACUGCUCCCAUAAGAGUACUCAGAUUUCAAAGGAGCUUGUACAUUUAUUCAACAAGUGUUUACUAAGCUCCUACUAUGUGCUAGACUCUGGAUUCCAUUGUUCUAAUGGCAGUGGCAGCAAAUUGUAAAUAAAUAAUUACUCCAUUAGACAGGAGAUAGCAGUUUUGUCUCACUUAGAUAGUGCUUAGAACAUUGAGGUACUCCAGAAAUACUGGUUGAAUGGAUAACAAUACUAAAACAACAACAGCUACAGAUUAUUCAGAGCAUGACACCCCCAAAACUCAUGACCUUUAGUUUUAAUGCAGCAGUCCCUUGGAAGCCCAAGGCAUUUUGAAGGAAUGGUAGGUAUUCUUGGGUCAUUUACUUUCAACUGUAGAAAUGUAACAAAAGCAAGAAUUUUAGCCCUACGUCUUUCUUUCUCUUAAGGUGGUCAUGCAGAGAACUUUUUGCACUGGGAAAGUCAGGAGGUUCAUUUGAAAGAUGACAAUUUACCAAAACCAUGUAGAGGUUUUCCUAAGCUGCCCACCUCGACCUCCCAAACCACUAGAAUUACAGGCAUGAGCCACCGCACCCAACCGUGCUACAAUUUUUCUGUUCCACCUAGUAUAAUGACCUAUACUGGAUAGAAAAAAAGUUAUUGAAUGAAUACAUGAUUGAUCCCAGAGGAGUGACUUGCCAACUCGACAGCUUUAAGGGUUAGUGUAAUACCUAUGGAUGUCUAACUUCCUUAAGGAAAGUGGUGGUGUCAUAAAGAGAUGGGGCAGAAGAUAAUCUCAUGAUUCCCAGCUGAUUUUUUUAGCCCUCCUUGCAAAUGACUGUUUUGAGUCUCUAAAAACUACUAACUACUGCCACUACUAAUUACUUUUGCUCAUCAGUCCUUGAUGUUGGCAACUUCACUGAAUACUUUGACACUUACUUCUUCUUGUCAUCCCUCACUCCUAAAACUGAACUUCAACUGUAAACUAUAAAAAGAAUAUUUUUUACCUGCAUGUCACCAUUAUGGAUACAUGUAGUAAUAAAACUUACUGCUCACUUAGUGCAUUUGUUGCUAUAGCACUCAAUUCCUAUCUCUUCAAUUCUCCUUGCUGCUAAUUCAUUCAUUCACUCACUCAUUAACUAUCCGAGCAUCUCCCAUGCACACUGGGUAUUCAGCAGUGGUUAAACCCAUUGCCUCCCUCAAGGAGCUUACAAUUAGGAGAAGCAAACAAGUCAGCAGGCAGUUACUGAGAAAGUUAAUAUCCACCUUUUCCACAUUUGUGGUUCUGCAGACAUCAUCUGGGAAAUGAAGAAAUUUACAAAAAAAAAAAAAAAAAUCCCUUCCUUCCAUAGCGUCUAAGUAAAGAGAAUCAUUUGGAAGGCUACAAGUAUGUCAUGGUAAAAAUGUGUACCUAAUUUAACGAAUGCAAUUUUAUGCAUUCUCUAUUUGUGGUAACCACAGUCUAUAUUCCUUUCCAUCUGUUUUCAAGUUGAAGUGUGACCACUGCUAAAGUGAAGGCCCACUUCUUUUUUGUUCUUUCUAGUCUUUUUCCUCCAUUUGAUUUACUCUCAUUGACCCAGAGUUCACUUCCGAAAGGGCGUAUUAAUGAAAGUGGGCUCCCCAUAGGACUAGGGAGCGGUAAGCAUGGCAAGGAGAGAUAACAGCAGUCUUAGAGGUCAGCAAAAGAGGGAUGUACAAUUAAUUCCACUCCCUUCCCUCAUUACAGUGAAAAGUCUGAACACCUUGGAGAAUACCACUUGUGGAGGAGAGAAGCUGGCCCUUUACCUUGGCUAUUAGCACUUAUUCCUAUACCAUCAUCGAGAGAAAGAUAAGUCAGUUACUAAUUCUGUCUACUCCCUUCACCCCCAAUAAUUGACAAGAGAUCUCUUUGGAAACUCAACAUGAUACAGCUAGAUUCAGGUGAAAGACAGAGGUAGGUGUCAACCUUUUUCCUGCAAAUCUAUGCAAAUACUCUAUUGCCCCAUCCCUUCUUUAAAAUGUAACUGGAAGACACAACCAACCAACCAACCAACCAAAAAACAAUACAACACCCUAAGUGCAAAUGGAACAAAGACUCUUGGUGUUAGUUAGAUGAAGGAUUCCAGUGUGAGGGGUUUUCAAGCUUCUUGCUGGACUUCGAGAUCUCCUAGUGCGUAUAAGCACAAACUGGUUUUUGCAGUAACUUAUGGAUCUCAGAAGGCUGUAGAAUUAGCAGGCCUUGCGUGAGAAUGUUGUUCCAUUAUUUACUCACAGUAGUCACAUAGAAGCCCACAGGAGCUGUCAAGGCCAGCAUUAGACUGAGCUUGCAAGCAGAACUGUUCUUUCUUACAUCUUGUUCAGAGGCCCUUUCUAAAGAAAUCAUCACCACAUAUUUAAAAUAUGAUGGGCUUGGUCUGACUUCAUUUUGGGUGGUGCAAAACUUUGUCCAUUUUUUUCCAAUUUGGGAAAAUUAUAGUACUGGCAUUGCAGUUAACCCUGGGAGGCUCGCUCUUUACUCCCCUCCCACAUUUAUAGAUUGUUCCAUUCAUACUUAGUUUCCUCUUCCAAAGAAGCAUGGAUUCAUUGUUCCACCAUUACACUAUUCAGUUUCUGCCAGUUAAGUGGUAACAAUUUUCAACUGUUUCAGUGAUGGCUCUUUUCUUUUUAACUUCUAGAGCCAUAUACCACAAUUCUGAGGUUGGUCAUCAUUGGAUUACAGCUGGGAUUUGUCUGGUCUAGACUUAGGUGUCAAAUACAUGGAGAAAAAAGAGCAGCAACAGCCAAGGGCAUUCAUGACAUCUUUGUACACUUCUAAACCUCAGUAAUUUAGGUUGUAACCCUG
rnacentral:lncRNA from 1 species